UACAGAGGGGGCAAGCGUUGUUCGGAAUUACUGGGCGUAAAGGGCGCGUAGGCGGCCUUCUAAGUCGAACGUGAAAUCCCCGGGCUCAACCCGGGAACUGCGUCCGAUACUGGAAGGCUUGAAUCCGGGAGAGGGAUGUGGAAUUCCAGGUGUAGCGGUGAAAUGCGUAGAUAUCUGGAGGAACACCGGUGGCGAAGGCGACAUCCUGGACCGGUAUUGACGCUGAGGCGCAAAAGCCAGGGGAGCAAACGGG
rnacentral:rRNA from 1 species